UACGUAGGGGGCAAGCGUUGUCCGGAAUCAUUGGGCGUAAAGAGCGUGUAGGCGGCCCGGUAAGUCCGCUGUGAAAGUCCAGGGCUCAACCCUGGGAUGCCGGUGGAUACUGUCGGGCUCGAGUCCGGAAGAGGCGAGUGGAAUUCCCGGUGUAGCGGUGAAAUGCGCAGAUAUCGGGAGGAACACCUAUGGCGAAGGUAGCUCGG
rnacentral:rRNA from 1 species